UAAAUUAGAUGUUCGCCCCAUCAAUUGUUGACGGUAAGGUAGUGGCUUACCGUGGUUGCAACGGGUAACGGGGAAUCAGGGUUCGGUUCCGGAGAGGGAGCAUGAGAAAUGGCUGCCAGAUCUAUGGAUUGCAGCAGGUGCGUAAAUUAUCCACUUUUGGCAUAAAGAGAUAGUGAUCAUAAAUAGCGGAUUCGGGUAUUUUCCUGGAGAUCGCAAUGAAAUAAUCGUAAAAGCUUUAAUGAAUGCAAUUGGAGGGCAAGUCUGGUGCCAGCAGCCGCGGCAAUUCCAGUUCCAAUAGUGUAUACUAAAGUUGCUGCAGUUGAAAAGCUCGUAGUUGGAUCUCGGCUUGCUAGCGUGUGUGAGCGCGCAAGUAGGCCUUUGCUGUAGUUUCACACUACGGCUUUACCUUGAACAAAAUAGAGUGCUUAAAGCAAGCAUUCUGCUUGAAUAUCUCAGCAUGGAAUAAUAGAAUACGACUUUUCUGUUGGUUUACCAGCAAAAGUAAUGAUUAACAGAGACAGACGGGGGCAUCCGUAUUGCUCCGUUAGAGGUGAAAUUCGUAGAUCGGUGCAGGACGUACUACAGCGAAAGCAUUUGCCAAGGAUGUUUUCAUUAAUCAAGAACGACAGUUGGAGUAUCGAAGUCGAUUAGAUCUCGUCGUAGUUCCAACUAUAAACGAUGCCAACUAGCACUCCGCUGGUAAUAUUUUUUUUACACUAGCGGGUGGCUUCCGGGAAACCAAAGUCUUUGGGCUCCGGGGGAAGUAUGGUUGCAAAGCUGAAACUUAAAGGAAUUGACGGAAGGGCACCACCAGGAGUGGAGCUUGCGGCUCAAUUUGACUCAACACAGAAAAACUCACCCGGGCCGAACACAGUAAGGAUUGACAAAUUGACAGCUUUUUCUUGAUACUGUGGGUAGUGGUGCAUGGCCGUUGUUGGUUGGUGGAGUGAUUUGUCUGGUUUAUUCCGAUAACGAACGAGACUCAGACCUACUUACUAGUCGUUAGAUUAUCGUUUAACAACUACUAAGAGGGAUCAGUGUCAAAAACACUUGAAAAUGAGCAAUAACAGGUCUGUGAUUGCCCUUAGACGUUCGGGGCCGCACGCGUGCUACAAUGAAGAAAGCAAUGGGUGUCUUGCUUGGUAAAGCCGGCUUAGCCUUAAAAUUUCUUCGUGGCAGGAAUCGAGGCUUGUAAUUAUUCCUCGUGCACAAGGA
rnacentral:rRNA from 1 species